rnacentral:lncRNA from 1 species
CUAAGACUCCACCCCUUCUUCAACAAAAAAAAAAACCCAGUUGUCCCCACGCUAAAAGAAAGGACCCCAAGAAGAACCUAAAUCCCUAUUCCUAGACCCCUCUUGCAGCCAUCUCCUUUGGGAAAAGGAGCUUUUCACUGUCAUUUCCAAAAAAAAAAAAAAAGGGCAACCCCCACCCAAGAAAAUCGACCUUCUUUUCCCCAUUUUCUUUCUGAACUCCACGCUCACCACGCUCACAAUAAGACCUAAGAAGCUAAGACAUUAGCUCAAUUUUCAAAAGGAAGAGCCGAUUGGAACGAGAAAGAAAAAAAGGACUCACGUCUGCUUCUUUUUUUUUAAGAAUUUCCACCGUGAUAGCUUUUGGUAAGUGUUUGGGAAUUUUAGUGGGAUUUGUGAUUAGGAAGAUUGGAGUUAUGUGGAAGUGGGUUUUGAGUCACUUGAAAAGUUUUUCCAUUGAUAAGCGUCCGUAGAUCAAAUUUGAGGUCGUGUUUGGGUUCGAGUUUUCUGGUACCGAAGAGGUUCCGAUCGCGGUUUAAUUUUCUGGUCAGCGGCUACCGUUGGAAACUUUGCUUUCAGUGAGGUCCAUUUCUCAGCUUUACAUUCUAUUUAAGCUUUGAUGAGUUCUUGAAAUUAAUCUCAUUGAAUGAAUACAGUUUGGUUAUUUCACUGUGCCCUAAUUGGCUUAUGAUCCUUCAAAUUAGCUUAUUUGCUAAAUUGUGGCGGAGAUUUGUUUAUGAAUUUUAUUAAUAUUUAAUUUUUCAAAUGCAUGUCUAUGAGUAAAAUUGAGAGGAAGGGAGUGUUAGCUAAAACAAAUGGUUUGUAUAAUUGUAGGAUGAUGAUUUGGGCAUAUGAAAAUUGAAAGAUAAUCAAGGCCGUGUGGUUUCGAAUUUAGAAGCUAAAAAAUUACUUUAAGUGAUUAUCUUGGUCUCGCUUUAAUUUUAUUUACUUUUUCAUGACGCUAGGAUCAUACUUAGGCCAUUAAUAUUCAUAGAGAUCCUAGCUCGUUUUAGGCGCGAUCAAUAAUAAAUUAUCGUGGUCGUAGGUACGGUUCCUGUGGUAUGGUUACGAUUUCUCAAUUCGGGUGUGCAUUUCAUGUGAACCGACCAUAAUUUCGAAUACUAAUAAAAUUAAACAUGUUGCAGAUCGUGGGUACGAUUCCAGUAAUAUGAUUUGCAAUGUGUACAAAACAAAACAAGUGUACGAUAAUCGUAACUUGUUCCAGAAAUAAUUUCACAAAUAAUUAAAAGCGGUUAAAAGGUUAAAAAUGCACGAUAGGUUCUAAAUAUGUAAUUAAUCAAAUAAUUAGGUCAAUUAUUAAUGGUUAAGCGAUCGUGUUAAAACCAUGAAACUUGGGAAUGCUUUACACUUUCUUCCUGGUUAACAGAGUUCAUUACUCGUAUUUCUAUGUUUCGAGAACUGUAAAAUAGAGUCAAACUUCCUCGAUUCAGGAUUUUAUACCGUUGAUUUGGGACACCAUAAAUUAUCCCAAGUGACCACUCUGAAUUUGAAUAUAAAUAAUCUCGUUUCGAUGAUUGUCACUUUAAUUGGAAAACUCCAUAUCUCUCUCGGAAAAAAGGAGGUGUGACAUGCUUCUUCGAUGGGAAGCACAAAUGUCACGCUCCAACCCUGAGGAGCGCAACCGGCACUCCAACCGAGUUACCCCAGUCAAGCAAGCCUACUUAGUGCCUACCAUCUAAUCUUACCCCUAAACAAUUUGAGAAUGAAUUACAAGAAAUAGGCAGUGAGAGCAUGAAAGAGUUCAACAUCAUAUUUCAUUACCUAAGGAGCUUUAUUUAGAAUUAAUCACAAAAAGGUUACAUAUUCAUUAGUUUAAAAGAUGAAAUAUGCCUGACAUCUAUAGUUUUUUCAGUUGGUUUCCCAAAUCAAAAUACAACCCACAUUACGUCUACGAAGCUUUUAGGUGGAUGUGAAUACAAUAUGAAAAUUCUAGGGCCCCGGCUAUAACUCAAAUACAAUAUACAAAAUCAAAUAACAUAAGGCCCCGAUAUAGGAUAGGACUCACCAAAAUGUGCUGAGUAGAUGGUAAGCUACUAUCAAGGAUCAAUGUUGCAUGCUGAGGAACCGCUUGCAUCCACUAAAGAUGCAGCACCUCCAACAAAAGGGACGUUAGUACAUAUGGAAUAGUACUAAUAUUUAAAGCUAAAUAGUCUCUCAUGGAAUGAAAUGCCAACAUAAAAAAGGACAGAAACAUGAAAGCAGUAAGAAAAUCAAUAAUACUGAAAUGCCAAGUUAAAACAAAGUAAAUCUUCAAGUAAGCAUAAAUAUUUUAGGUAGGGAGAUCCUUAGUACCGACACACUACCAUGAACAUGGCAUGGAGUCCGAUCUCAAUCCGAUCGGCUAAGCCAUCUCGUCCCAAUUUAUGAGGGUUGACAUAGAAAUACGAUACCAUCAUGUAUGCGGUAUAAUCUUCGAUCUUAACCCGAUCGACUAGGCUGUUUUACCAUAAUGAUGUGUGCGUUGAUAUGUUCUUUUUUGACUAUCAACUCAUCUCAAUCAAGGGGAAUAAUCUCAACAUAUCAUAACAAAAAUGUAUCCCUCUAUAAGAUCCUACAUCAGCACGUGUAGUUUUGAGCUUUGGCCUUUAUAAUGCACCCUUCUUCGGUUACCUAACGAUACUUCCAAAAGUAUUUAUCAUAUAAAAGGAUUAUAUAUAUCAUAGCCUUUCUUAAAUUCUUUUCAUUUCUUUGGCAUUCUUUGUCAUACAUGUAAAUCAACAUUCUUGGCACGAUGACCGCAUUCAUAUUUCGUACUUUCAUCCCUUUACUUUUCAUGUAUCAUCAUAAAAUAUUUAAGGAUAUUUAAAACAAUGGGAAAGUCAUAGCUUCAAAUCAUAAGUAUGUAAGAAUUCAAAACACAUUGGGAGUAAUUACAAGGAAGAGCAUAGUGAUUUGCAAUUUAAAGUAUGAGUUAAAAUCUAAGCCUUUGGGUGAAUCAAUCGUUAAAAACAAUCUGAACAAUAGGAAUAAAACUUGGACAAAUCAUACUUGGAGUUCAUAAGGAAUUCAUGGAAUCCAAUUCUAUAGAACGAGUUUUGCCAAUAUACCUCAAGUAAGCUUUUCUUAGAAUCACUACGGUGCUCCACUAUUCUUAGCAAUCUACAUUAACAUAGUUUAAUUUGACCAUUAUUAGAAGGAAAUCUCAUAAUAUAAGUCUUUUAAUAAUUUAGCCGAAUACCUAAUAUGCGAAUUCAGCUACAAGGUUCGAUAAUGGAAUCAUCCCCACCAUAACCUAUUCCAAAGCAAAUAAUCAAUCUACAAUACCCAACAACCUUCAAUGGCACAUGCAUUCCUAUUCAUACACUCUCAACUAAAGAAUCGCACCCCUCAUUCUUCACAUGCACCCCAAAUUUGAAAUUAACGCCUUAUGGCUUUCAAUCACCAAUUCAUAAGCCUCAAACAUAGUAAUCAUACUAUAAUUCAUUAUAGAACAUUGCAUGUGAGCUUGGGACAAAGUCCUCUUAAGAAGAAGCCCUUGUGAGUUUUCUCCUUGAAUUUCUAAGACUUGAUCGAGAACUUGAAGUGUAGAAGUAUUAGAGCUUCUCCUUCUCUUUAGAUUCCCCUCCCCCACCCCCCACCCCCUGAAAAUACCAAAUUCUCCCUUCAAAAUGACCCCCUUACCUAUUAAAACAGAAUCGGGUAAAAAACUCAAAAAUUAACCAUUCGAGUCGGGUCUGCAAUCAUGGGUAGGACCGCAGAAAAGGUAUGUGAUCCGCGAAAUGCACUACGAAUUGGUCCACCAAAUGUGGGUUAGGUCUGGUCGGAUCAGCGAUGGAUUUGCAGUCCAUAGGAUCAUUUUGCGGUUACAUAUUGGACCGCAAAAUCUCCUUCCAAAAAAUUUAUGUUGGUUAUGCUAUGAUAGAAAUAUUUCUUUAUGCGGCCUAUUCCCCAUAUUUACCUAAUUGGUGCUAUUUUAAACUCUUCUAUCAAAAUGGCUACUUGUCACCAAUUAAUCACUGUUUUAUAUGCUUAUAUGGAUGUUGGACCAACUAAAACCCCUGAUAUUGAAAUUUGCAUUUCUGAACUACACAAAUAUUUACAAGCUUUAUAUAAUUAUUAUGCUAAUAUUGUUGAUGCAUCUUCUGCUAUAAAUGCAAAUACAAAUAUUCCUUCAAGUUCAGUUUCUACAUUUGGAUUUGGUGCUAUAGAGGAUACUGACAGUGUUGAAGAUUAUUUAAUUUUGUCUAUACUAGAAGAGCAUCAACAAACCAGUAGUAAAAAUAUCGAUGAACUCUAAUUCUACUUACAAAAGGUAACAGAGCCCAGCACAAAGGAAUUUCUACCGCUGGCUGGUGGAGGACUAACUCAAAUCAAUUUCCUGUUCUUUCGGCCAUGGUCGAGACGUGCUAAAUGUAUCAAUUUCAACAGUUGCAUCA